GCAGUCGAGCGGACAGAUGGGAGCUUGCUCCCUGAUGUUAGCGGCGGACGGGUGAGUAACACGUGGGUAACCUGCCUGUAAGACUGGGAUAACUCCGGGAAACCGGGGCUAAUACCGGAUGCUUGAUUGAACCGCAUGGUUCAAUUAUAAAAGGUGGCUUUUAGCUACCACUUACAGAUGGACCCGCGGCGCAUUAGCUAGUUGGUGAGGUAACGGCUCACCAAGGCGACGAUGCGUAGCCGACCUGAGAGGGUGAUCGGCCACACUGGGACUGAGACACGGCCCAGACUCCUACGGGAGGCAGCAGUAGGGAAUCUUCCGCAAUGGACGAAAGUCUGACGGAGCAACGCCGCGUGAGUGAUGAAGGUUUUCGGAUCGUAAAACUCUGUUGUUAGGGAAGAACAAGUACCGUUCGAAUAGGGCGGUACCUUGACGGUACCUAACCAGAAAGCCACGGCUAACUACGUGCCAGCAGCCGCGGUAAUACGUAGGUGGCAAGCGUUGUCCGGAAUAUUGGGCGUAAAGCGCGCGCAGGCGGUUUCUUAAGUCUGAUGUGAAAGCCCCCGGCUCAACCGGGGAGGGUCAUUGGAAACUGGGGAACUUGAGUGCAGAAGAGGAGAGUGGAAUUCCACGUGUAGCGGUGAAAUGCGUAGAGAUGUGGAGGAACACCAGUGGCGAAGGCGACUCUCUGGUCUGUAACUGACGCUGAGGCGCGAAAGCGUGGGGAGCGAACAGGAUUAGAUACCCUGGUAGUCCACGCCGUAAACGAUGAGUGCUAAGUGUUAGAGGGUUUCCGCCCUUUAGUGCUGCAGCAAACGCAUUAAGCACUCCGCCUGGGGAGUACGGUCGCAAGACUGAAACUCAAAGGAAUUGACGGGGGCCCGCACAAGCGGUGGAGCAUGUGGUUUAAUUCGAAGCAACGCGAAGAACCUUACCAGGUCUUGACAUCCUCUGACAACCCUAGAGAUAGGGCUUCCCCUUCGGGGGCAGAGUGACAGGUGGUGCAUGGUUGUCGUC
rnacentral:rRNA from 1 species